rnacentral:snRNA from 1 species
AUCGCUUCUUGGCCUUUUGGCCAAGAUCGAAGUUUAAUAUCAGUUUAAUAUCCGACACGUCCUCUAUGGGAGGACUGUAUAUUAAUAGAUCUUAGAACAUGGAGACGGGAGACGGACAAGGGGCUUGUUCCGUCCGUUCCACGCAUCACCCUUU